rnacentral:lncRNA from 1 species
CUGAGUGUGGGCAUCCCUGAGAACUCCAUUGUUUUUAUGGCCGACAGAGGAGAAUGUGUCCCUGGGGAUCGGGAGGUAGAGUCCACUUCAUUUGCAAGAGCCCGGCGGGCAGUGCUGCCCCAAGAGAAUGAAGGGUCAGGGAGUGAGCCACUCAUAACUGGGACCCUCAAGAAAGAAGGUAAGGAGGCUUGUUUGCUCAACUGCUUCAGCCAUGCUGUGGAGAACAGAGCCCAUGGCUGGCUGAGCCCAUGGCUAGCUCAGACUGGCUCCCUCAGCACUGCAAGGCCCAUCUCUCAGCUAUGACUAAGACAGAUGAAGUUCUGAACCUUCAUGGUUGGAGUGGGAAGGGCAACAGAUAGUCCCAGGCUCAGGAGGGCUUAUCUCUGCCAUGAGGAGUGAAUUUCUAUUCUAUCCUGUCUGCACUCUCACCAAGCCUUAGUUUUCUCUGCUAUAUAAUGGGAUACUCGUCUCCUGAGCUGACCUUUAGGACUCUUGUAUCAGUAAAGGAGAAGGAUGUAAGGAUGCUCUAUUGGAUGUCAGUUCAUUUAACUUGCUCAGCAAAUGCCAAGCUUGCUCCACUAUAGGCCUUGGGCUGGACAUUGUUUUGUUUUGUUUUGUUUUGUUUUGUUUGCUCUGGGAUUUUGUGGGGAGACUUCCAAAGGAGCCCAUGUUAGGUCCAAAGGACAUCAUCAUCAAAGGGCUGAUGAUU